AGGACGAACGCUGGCGGCGUGCUUAACACAUGCAAGUCGAGCGGUAAGGCCUUUCGGGGUACACGAGCGGCGAACGGGUGAGUAACACGUGGGUGAUCUGCCCUGCACUUCGGGAUAAGCCUGGGAAACUGGGUCUAAUACCGGAUAUGACCUCAGGUUGCAUGACUUGGGGUGGAAAGAUUUAUCGGUGCAGGAUGGGCCCGCGGCCUAUCAGCUUGUUGGUGGGGUAAUGGCCUACCAAGGCGACGACGGGUAGCCGACCUGAGAGGGUGACCGGCCACGACUGGGACUGAGACACGGCCCAGACUCCUACGGGAGGCAGCAGUGGGAAUAUGCACAAUGGGCGAAAGCCUGAUGCAGCGACGCCGCGUGAGGAUGAACGGCCUUCGGGUUGUAAACCUCUUUCAGCAGGACGAAGCGCAAGGUGACGGUACCUGGCCAAGAAGAAGCACCGGCUAACUACGU
rnacentral:rRNA from 1 species